CCUACGGGAGGCUGCAGUGGGGAAUAUUGGACAAUGGGGGGAACCCUGAUCCAGCCAUGCCGCGUGUGUGAAGAAGGCCCUCGGGUUGUAAAGCACUUUCAGUGAGGAAGAACGCCUGGUGGUUAAUACCCAUCAGGAAAGACAUCACUCACAGAAGAAGCACCGGCUAACUCCGUGCCAGCAGCCGCGGUAAUACGGAGGGUGCGAGCGUUAAUCGGAAUUACUGGGCGUAAAGCGCGCGUAGGUGGCUUGAUAAGCCGGUUGUGAAAGCCCCGGGCUCAACCUGGGAACGGCAUCCGGAACUGUCAAGCUAGAGCGCAGGAGAGGAAGGUAGAAUUCCCGGUGUAGCGGUGAAAUGCGUAGAGAUCGGGAGGAAUACCAGUGGCGAAGGCGGCCUUCUGGACUGACACUGACACUGAGGUGCGAAAGCGUGGGUAGCAAACAGGAUUAGAUACCCUAGUAGUC
rnacentral:rRNA from 1 species